rnacentral:rRNA from 1 species
CACGUAGGGCGCGAGCGUUGUCCGGAAUUAUUGGGCGUAAAGAGCUCGUAGGCGGCCUGUUGCGUCCGCUGUGAAAGCCCGGGGCUUAACCCCGGGUCGGCAGUGGAUACGGGCUGGCUGGAGGCAGGCAGGGGAGAACGGAAUUCCCGGUGUAGCGGUGAAAUGCGCAGAUAUCGGGAGGAACACCGAUGGCGAAGGCGGUUCUCUGGGCCUGUACUGACGCUGAGGAGCGAAAGCGUGGGGAGCGAACAGG